ensembl:lncRNA
AUGCAGAAUUGUUUCUCAUGACUCAACUGACAUUUUGUCCUCAGCAGGCACAGGGCGGUCCUGAUGGGACGUGAAUCCAUGCCUAGGGAAUCACAAUACCCUGAGAUGGAGGUGAGGACCAGCUCUGUGCCAGCUUCAUCGUCAGCAACCACCCUUCAACAGCCUGCACUGAGCACCUUCUCUCUCACAUUGGUCGCUCCUUCAGGCUGAACACUCUAUCGGGGGCCACCAGUUAAUUUCCAGGGAGGCCACUUCUCCUCCGGGGUGAGUUUCAGGAAUCCUCCAAAAGUGGGGGCCUUGCAGGCCGAGUGAUGGGAGGCAGAUGGCCUUGCGCUGUGGGGACCAGGGCCUCUCGAGGCCACCUGUGCACUGGGAAAUCCAGAAGCUGGACACCCAGGACUGAGGGAGCCACCGGCCCUGCCAGGUGUCACGCGGAGACGCAGCUGCACUGAGUGGGUCCUCUCUUUAAGUUUGUGACAGAAAAUAUGGAUCUUCAGGACGUAGAACAGAUUAUACAGUUUUACACUUUUCAAAAUGAUAAAUGCAAACUUUUAUGGGCAAGGGCAUAUCUGUAAUAUUUGAUUUCACAAAAUUGUGUUUGAAUAAGACUGUCUGCUGGGGGACAUGUGACAGUUUGUCUGGCCACACAGGGGACACAUGACAGUGUGUCUCGCUUGGCCACAUACUCGCUGCGGGGACAAGCAGCCCGUUGCCUCCGUUUCCACAUUUGCCAAGUGGAGUCAGUUUAGUGCAUGCCAGGGGUUACCAGGAAGAACGACUAAUGUGUGCAAAGCAGUUGGGUGACGCCCAGCCUUCGUGAGGCUCAGCCACAUCGCUCUGCCCUGUUUCAGAAAUCCACGCUCAGGAGCACACCUGCUGGCUGACAGUGUUUCUAAGUCUGCCCCUGUGCUCUCUAUUUCUUUUCAUCAAAAGAUUUCAAUUUACAGAGAUCUAAACUAUAAAUAUGGAGAAGGUGUGUUAUCAUCACCAAACCUGAAACAGCACACGAAGUUUGAGAACGCCCAGAAGAUCGGGAACUGCCUCUGCAAACACCGGGCUCCUGUGGCCACCCAUCUUUUGGGCUCUGCCUUGGAUGUCAGAGGAGACUUGAGAAUUUUUCUUACCUUGUCUCAGGAGACAGCUGCACAAGUAUCCACACUUAAAGAUAUGUGUGCAAAACCUCACCAUUGCACGAGGAGAAUAAUUUAUAUUGUAAGCCAAGCAAAUACUAUUUUUGAGAGUCAUAAUGACUAAAUACCAGUCGGAAUAGUUAUUGAAAAGUUGAGGCCGGGGGCGGUGGCUCGCGCCUGUAAUCCCAGCACUUUGGAAGGCGGAGGCGGGCGGAUCACAAGAUUGACAGAUCGAGACCAUCCUGGCUAACAUGGUGAAACCCCAUCUCUACUAAAAAUACAAAAAAUUGGCCAGGCGUGGUGGCAGGCACCUGUGGUCCCAGCUACUCGGGAGGCUGAGGCAGGAGAAUAGCAUGAACCCAGGAGGCGGAGCUUGCAGUGAGCCGAGAUUGCGCCACUGCACUCCAGCCUGGGAGACAGAGCGAGACUCCAUCUCAAAAAAAAAAAAAAAAAAGAAAAAAA